rnacentral:lncRNA from 1 species
GCACUCACAGUGUUCGUCUUGCGGGUCACUAUCAGCUACUACACCGGCUCCAGCCUGUAGAUAUGCCACCCACUCCCGGCGUUUGUUAGCAUCCUUGUAAGAGUACAUUGUAUUGUAUUGACAUGCUGUCGGGAAAACGAUUGUCCUCAGGGACAAAGCAAUGUCCAUGUCACCAGUGAAGGAGACUCCACCAAAACCACCACUGUAUGGUCCACGCCUUGUUGGCUCUAGCUCAUCAAUUAGUUCCAUGGCUUUGACCUUUGGUGCACCACUAACUGUUCCCACUGGUAAAGCCGCACGUAGUGUGUCCCAGCAGGUCAGAUCAUCUUGUAACUCUCCUGUCACCUACACACGUAGACCUUGACAUGAUUAGGAACACUUAACAGGAAUUGAACAGUUUGAUACGAUGGUAAUUAACAAAACUUACCGUUGAGCUUAUAUGCAUAACAUGGGAAUAACGUUCAAUGUUCAUAAGCUUCUCUACUUUCACUGAUCCAUAUUUCGCAACCUUUCCAACAUCGUUGCGACCGAGAUCUACUAACAUGAUGUGCUCAGCACAUUGCUUUUCAUUCUCUAGCAGUUCCUUCUCUAAUCUCUUAUCCUCAACUUCAUCUUUCCCUCUCUUGCUGGUUCCUGCUAAUGGCCGGUUCACUAUCUUGUUCUGCUUGAAAUAUGAUAUAAAGGUCAGCUCAAAUAUGAUAUUAAGAUUUUAUGCAGCUUUGAGAUAAGAGACCUUUUACCUGCUUUACUUUUGUGAGAAUUUCUGGACUUGAUGCUACCAUAAUACAUCCUCUAGCCUGAUUAAGAAGACACAAAAGUAUUAAUGGUUUAUUCACCACAAGUACAAAACCAAAGUUGUAAACGAAAAGUUCCCUCUAUCACCAACCUGCAAAUAACCCAUAUACGGACUUGGAUUCACAACUCUUAGUGCUCUAUAAACUUCAAAGGGGUCUGCAAAUGUUCGCCUCUCAAAACGUUGACUCAGCACGAUCUGGAAUAUGUCUCCUGCAAGUAUAUGUUCUUUGGCCUUGACCACAGCCUCCUUGUACUCUUCGCAUGUCACAUUCGAGUUUGUCAGCGUCGGCCCAAAUUGACGUGUCUGAAGAUUCACGUUACCUGCAGCCAGCUUUGGUCUGUAGAGACAACGGAAAAAAAUCAACUUUUAAGGAUAGUAAUCAAAAGAAGUUCACAAACUAAAUUAAGUGAAAGAUACACCUACCGCUCAGUAUCGUGUAACAUGGCCACCAAGUUCUCCAAAUGUUGCAUUCCGUUACUAUAUGCUUUCUCGUCAGGAAGGCUCCCAUCUUGUCUAAUCCAAUGAAUAACAUAUGCUUUCUGUAGAAAUUGAAUGGAACAUUUAUUAACAGAUUUGGAGAUUUCACAGGUUAAUCAAAAACAUGGAUGGUAACAAAAGUAAUACCUUCUCCACGUGAUCAAAUACAAUUACAUCUUCAUAAAGACCAAGAUGCAUGUCUGGCAAGUUCCUAUCAUCUUCAGGGGCCUUUGAAAAUGGUAAUUUUCUCUUCUCGACAUAGCGAACUGUGUCGUACGAGAAAAAACCAACCCACCCACCUAUCAUGAUAAAGAAAUCUUGUUAAGAGACACCACUUCAGUCUUCAGGAAAAAGGAAGGACACUAAGGUUAAUCAUUUUUCUAUCUAAUAACGCAAGAAAGGACAAUGAAGACAUAAAGGUGAACCGGAGACUAUUGUCUUAAGGGGCAAAAAGGUAGCAGGCGAACUAGAUCAUAUCAGGGAUAUUAUAUUCAGAUCAAGACCAGCACAAUAAAGGGCAUACAGAAAACUCUAUACUUUAUCAGUUGCUCUAGCCUCUAGGGAAACCAGAUGUACGUGUCUAGUACUAGGAAUCCCACGUCCAAAAAUGUAAAAGACCAAAUAUGGUAUGGUAUAUAAAGAACACGAACUACCUACAUUAUUUAGUAAUUGGUUUUGAUGUAGAACCCCAUGGAAACUUGACAUGUACAAAGAUCAUUCAAAAGCAGGAGCUUGCCUCAAGAAAAUCCAUACUAUUAUCACAUUUCCGUAAUCCAUAAAACCAAUGGCUUUAUUUUCUUCAGGCUAAGUAUAUAUAAACAAUCAAGACAAAUAUCUUACCACAAAAAGCAUCUGGAAGGUCCUGAACUAGUUGAGGAUCAGGGUUCCAUUUCUCUGAAAUUUUUCUAGGGAUCUCCAUUGGAUCUUCGACGUAUUCCUCAGUCAUGGUUUCAUUUUUGUGAUCCAUUACAAUAACUUUAUUCUCCUUUGCCACGAUCUCCAUCGCGGGCUGAGCCCCAACAACGCUAUAUCGACCCUGUGAAGAACAAAACAAUCACAACAAAGAAUCAAUUAGGAACUGAUAAAAUAUAUAUAGAAAGAACCGUACAAAGAAAGAUUCAACUUACAACGCUUGACAUCUGAGAACCUGGCUCAACAGACUCAAAAAGAAAGCUAGGAGCUUCACGGUCAUCUUCUUUGACCAGACAACGGUAAGCAAGAACAGGAGUAAGAUGAUCAGAGAAUAUGCAACGGUAAAUUGGUAUAAGGUUUGUGCUCUUAGAAGCAUCUACCAACUUCUUUGUAUCACUUACUGCAAAGAAUCAAAAUAACAUGUAUCAGGACAGUUUUCACAGUAAUCUCUAAAGCUUAACAGCUUGAGGCAUGAAGAUUCACAUUCACAAUCGAAACAACCAAGUUAGUCAGAGAAUUGAAAUUUAUAGCUUAAAUGCAGCUAAUUUCGACCCAUUUCAUCGGUAAAAUCAAACAAUCCAAAACCCAAAUAACAGAAAAGAGCAUUGCUCCACCUAUUGAAGCUUCCGGCGAAACAGAGACGCAUUUAAUCGAGCUGAAAGAAGGCGCGUAUGCCGAGCUUCUACCGGAGUAUCCAGUGACAGUCACAGGAGAAGAGAGUCCGCGUGAAAGGAAAAGCCGGCGAGAGAAGCUCAGAGGUUGCAUCGUCGCUACAUUCAUAGAGGUAGCCAUCGUUGCUGGGUUGGUUACGCCGUUACGGUUGCGAUGUGGCGGCCGGAAUGUUUGAAAAAGAUCGGAGAAGAAGAUUGAGAGGUGACGGCUAAAAAAAAAGGAAACGAUCUUGUUUCACAUUUGACUAAUUGAUUUCAGUUUCACAUUUGACUGGAGAAACAUUGUUGCUGACUGUUUCAGCAAAUUAAAAACUAAAGGACCAAAAAUACAAGAAAGUAAAAGUCUUAAAUCACAAGUGAUAAAAAUUGGCAAAACAAAGUCAAAUCGGCGGGGUGUUAUGUAAUUACAAAUGGAAUAGGGGAAGAAAAAGUAAAAAAAUGAAAACAGUUUGGGGCCAAAAGUUAAAGAAAAAAAUCCAACACGAAAAAAUAAUGAUAUGACCACAACACAAGUCAAGACUAUGGGCUCUUAGUGGGCUCGUUAAAUAAAGGGAACGUCGGAGUCUUCGAACCAUUUAGACGUCUUAAGAUCAUUGUUAAUAACCUUUAGAUACACUGCAAUCUUAGGGCAUCUUUAACCAGAUAUUCGAUCGGUUCUUGUAGUAUUAAAGAAAGUCCAAAUAAUGCAAAUAGUACAUUUUUAAGACCGAAGAUGUUUUCAUUUGAGAGUCUUAGGCCACAUGUAUUCAUGUGAUUGGGUGUGUUUUUUUGUUAGUUUUAAUUGAAAAAUGUUUUUUUUUGUGAAAGAAAACAAAAAAUCCCCAAAUGUUUUUCUCUCUAACCCUAGCCUCCCCAAAUGUUUUUUUUUGUUCAUUUAAUAAAAUGAUUUGUAUUUCAUUUUUAUGUUUAUAUCUUUUUAAGUUUCUAUUUUUAAUUUAUAUGUUACUAUCUUUUAAGUUUAUAAUUUUUAUCUAAACUGUUAAAUAUAUGUUAUUAAUAAUAUUUAUUUGUAUUAUCUUUUUCUUAUUAUUCUUCUCUAAACUGUUCUGUCCUCUAACCUCUUCUUACAUGACUUGAAAGGUUGUUUUCCUUGAACCGGCUGAGGCUCGUGCAGCUAUGAAGGGAAUGGCAUACAAGUGUUACAAGUAAGGCUUUGUCGUUAACUUUGAUCUUUCCCUAAAGUGCUUCUUGGAGAUAUAUGAUUGUCCUUGUUUAACCAAACUGUCUCACCACAUUUCCCUGUUAUUUCAGAGGUUCUCCCCUGUAUCUGGAGUGGGCUCCUGGAGAUAUUCUUGAGCCAGAAGCAGUUGACGAUAACAUAGAAAAGAAGAGUGAUGUCGAAGAAAAUGAUGUGACAAGAGUCAACUCGGAACAGCACGCUGGAAUCAAUUCGGAUAUACCUGAGGUAUAUAAGUCCACUUUAUGAUUGUUUUGAAACCAUAUGUUAUUCCUUUGUGUGGUUUUGAAAAAUAUAGUUGGUAAAAUCUUUGAUUAGCUUGGGCAACUAGAUUUGGUUUUAGUCUUACCUUGUGGGUACGAUAUUUACGGGUUUAGUACACUAUUCUUGUAUGUUUCAGGUUAGGAAUCCUGAUAAUUUAUGUUUAUUAAUUGGCUUGAAAUAUUCUGUUUUCUCACAUAACGUUUCCUUUAAACAAUGCAUUAUAUAUCAGUCAAAUGUCCUUCAUGUAAAGAAUCUGAACUUCAAGACAAGUGAUGAGAGUUUGAAGAAGCAUUUGACUGAACUGGUGACGCAGGGAAAGAUUCUGAGUGUUAAGGUAGGUGCUUGCUCAUUGCUGACAGAUGAUAUGCACAUAACCAUUAGAAGUCGGUUUUUUGUUUUCCUUACUUUUCACUAUAAAGCAGAUAAUAAAUAAUGGGAAGAAUCGUCCUACAAGCAAUUAUGGUUUUGUAGAAUUUGACUCAAUAGAGACAGCGACCAGUGUUCUGAAGGUAUAUAUUAUCUAGUUAAGUCUCUCUCUUUGAAAUUUGAAUCGAUGAAGUACGGUGACACUUUUUUUUCUUUUUUGUUGGUAGGGAAGAAGAAGUGUUUUGGAUGAUCAUGAAUUGAUCUUGAGUUACUUUGAAAGCAAGCAGUGUGAAACGGUUGGGGAAGGUUCAGACAAGGACAAAACUAUGAAAAAAUUAUGUGUGAAGAAUGUAGCUUUUGAAGCAACCAUAAAAGAACUGAGACAGCUGUUCAUUCCGUUUGGACAGGUGCACACUUCUGGUGCACAGCUUAUUAGUUCCAUUUACAAGUCAUGCAUGAACACAAGUUCUAUAUUGUAUUUGGAACGAAACAGAACUUGUAUUUGGAACAAGAUGUAUUUGGAUAUAAUUCUUUUUUGGUUCUUGUUCAUGCAGGUCAAGAGUGUUAGGAUUCCAAAGAAGAAUGCGAAAAAUGGGUUUUAUUGAAUUUGGGACAAAGCAAGAAGCUUUAAACACGAAAAAGGCAUUAUCCAGCAGCACCCAUUUCUAUGGACGCGCUUUGGUAAGUCUUGUGUUGCCUAGUCAUCUCUAUAGCCUGUUCAUUUUGACAUCCUUGGAUGCAUACUCAACCAUCUCUGUAUGAGGUCUUUGCAGGUGAUCGAGUGGGCUAAGAAGGAAGACAAGAGCGUGGAAGCGAUCAGAAAAUCUUGUGCUGCCAAGUUUGUGGACCAAGAAAACAAUAAUCCAAAGAAACGGAAAAUGCUCGAUUGUUGUUAGUGGUGAAAGAAGUUUGAGAGAAACUAUUUAGUAGAAAUAUACUAUUUGUUCCCUUAAUUAAUGUACUCAUCAUAUCUUCGAUUCAGUACUAUUUUUAUGGUAAAAAAAAAAAUAAAAAAAAAUAACGAAAAUUAGAAUCCCUAAUGGCUUGCUUGUGCUUAGAAUUGAACUUGAUCAAACCAAAACCGGUAGAGUUUUGUUGAAGCGAAAGUAGCUGUCAAACACAAGAUCAUACGACUCAAGUUUACCCCAAAUAUGUCCCUGGCGUCUUUCAAUCGCGAUCUGUGCACACCAAAUCUCUUUUCUUAUAGUCGACCUAUCUUCACCUUUAAUGAAGAACACAGCUAGUCUCCUCCAACCAUAAGUCACAGUGUCUGACCAUUUAAAGGCUGUAUGAGGGAAAAAUUCUUCCAAACCUUUCACCACUUCCCAGCACUUGUGCUUAGAAUCAUACACUCUUAACUUGUUCUCAUAAGGAUCAUAGUAGUACAAUAGGUCAUCAAGAACGCAACCACGGUACCACUUAUUAGAAUUCAAAAUCUCGUCCGGUUCCCAUUUAUCUUCCUUUGGCUCGUAAACAAAGCUCUCGUCAAAACGAGAAUCCCUCACGUACAUCUUACCCGCAAUCACCACGUUGUCAUACCAGAACCGACGUAACUCUUUGCUUGGCUUCGUUGUCAUCUCAGGCUCCCACGUUUGUGUUUCUGUAUUGAACACCAGCAUUACCUUCAUUAAAUUUGCAAGGUCAUGUUCGAACACUGAUCCCAUUACGAAAAUCUUUUUGUCGAUGACGUCAAGGAGCUUUCUAGCCUUGGGUCCAUGAGGGUUCUCGGAGAAGGGCUGCACAGUGUGAGACGUACAGUCUAUGCUAAAGGAACCUGAUCUCGAGAACCCACUUAACACAUAGAUCUUGGAACCAACCGAGACAUAACUUGCUUGGAAAGGCAUAGGAGGAAGCGACGCGAUACGGACAAAAGAGCAACUGUUGACGUUGUUUCCUUUCAGACGACGACGAAGAACAUACAAAUGAUAUCUAUUAGUUUCGUAAUCCAAGAGAGCAGAAUAGAUACAAGCUUCGGUGCAGCCCAACAAGGAUCGUCUACGGUAUAGCUCACACGAUGAAACGAGUGACCGGAAGUAUUUAGAGACAAGGCAGAGAUUUGGAUAGUCCCAUCUCGACACAUGCGCUAUAAUAUCGACGAUGAUGUCGUCAGGAAGUGACGUAAUCAUCAGACGCGCGCGGAGAGGUUCCUUCUAACAAACAGCCACCCACCGAGAGAAGAACCAAGACCAGCCCUAAAAUUCACUACUCCUUCUAAUGGACUUAUUAGAUUUUGCCAUAUUUAAAAUAAAAUAAUUUAUUUAUAACAACUUUAAAAUAUGUAUGGAGAUAAUUAUAAAUAUAUUUAGAAGUUACCAAUAUACUUUUUCAGUUAAUAAAUCUACAACAAAAAUAAUUUCCUUUUUUUAAAAAAAAAAAAUAUGGAUUAUAAGGCAAAUUAGGCAAUUUUACAUUUAACUACUAUGAUGAUACCAUAAUUAAGGAGAAAAGUAUUAAAUUACUUAUCAAAGUUACAAAUUUGAUAGGAGCAUGGCUUAUUUUUACGAGAAUUUAAAAAUAAUAAUUUUUAGAGCUUCAUUAAUGAAGUCUAAUUGCAAUCCUCACCAUAUCAAGAAAAAAGCUCUGUUCUGCUUGUAACUGUUUUAUACACGUUAAAUUCGGAGUCUCAAAGAAAGCCUCUGUUCUUGGGCACAUUCAUUUUUUAACAAAUGCAGAUUCAGCCAAGUCAAUUGCUCGAGCAAGACCAGCUGCUUUGUUCUGGCACUCACAGUGUUCGUCUUGCGGGUCACUAUCAGCUACUACACCGGCUCCAGCCUGAAGAUAUGCCAUGCGGGAAAACAUGCUGGUUAUGAUUUUAUUGAAUUUGGGACAAAGGAAGAAUCUUGAAACGCGAAAAAGCCAUUAUCCAGUAGCACCCAUUUCUAUGGACUCCCUUUGGUGAGUGUUAUGUGCUAUUGUGUACUCAUCCUUGGAUGCAUCCUCAACUCUGUAUUUGACGUCUUUUCAGGUGCUAGAGUGGGCCAAUGAUAAAAAAAUCGACCCAAAAGCGUCCUGCUGCCAAGUAUGUGGACCAAGAAAACGAUAAUUCAAAGAAAAGGAAAAGCUUGACAGUUUUAGUGAAAGAAAAAUUAAUCAAGUUUGAAAGGAUAGCUGAAUAGGCCCUAUCUAUAUAGUUUGUGUUGAGUAUAUUAUAUAUUGAGCAUGGUGUUUAAGUCUCUUUUGUGAUUCUCCAUGGUUGAAGAAUUGAAGCCUUUUAAUUUAUAUUUUAUAGAUGGUUUUGGAACAGAAAUGAUACAAACAUAUCCCAAGCAAAUAAUCUUGAACAUGGUUCUAGUGAAAACUAGAUUUUGACCCGCGGUACACCACGGGACGAUAUUCUAAAAUGUUUUUUUUUUUUUUUUGGUAUAUAAGCGAGUAAUAAUAUUUUGAUUGUUAAUUAUAUGAUUUAACCCGUAAAAUAUUAUAUGAUAAUUUCCUAUAAUAUAUAAUUGUAAUUUGAUCAAAUUAAUUAAAAUAAGUCUAAUAUUAAAAUAAUAAAAUGAUAUUGACAUAGUAUCUUUCCUUUACAUAGUAUAAUUUUAUAUUUAAAAUUUUUGUGAGUUAUAAUAUAGUAGACAACCCGUAAAAAUAUCUAUAAUCAUAAUUAUGUAAAGUAUAACUCGCUGCAUCACAUGACCCGUGAUACACAAUUAUCAAUAAUACUUUAGGUUAUACAUUUUUGUAUCGUUUGAGUAAUAUAUAUCCGUUUCUAACAAUUCAAAUUGCAACAUAUGCAAAAAAAAUUAUAUUUUUAUUAUACAUAUGUUUAUGUAAUAAUAUAAAUUUAAAAACAAAUAAUAUCAUAUAAAUAUGUUGGAGAAAUCUUUGAUUUAUUAGGGAGAGAUUUUAGGAAAUUUUGUUAAAUGUAAUAAAUAUUGAUUUUUAAUUUUGCAAAUUUAGUUUUAUUUAAUUACAAAAUUUAUCUUAAACUUUUUCUAUUUAAUCAAAUUGCAAUGGUUUAAUUAUGUAAAUAUGACAAAAUAAAAAGGUAGAACACAAAAGGUAUAAUAUAGAUAUGUCCAAGAUAUAACAUAAUUUACUUUUGUUCUUGAUUUUUUUUGCGUCAAUGGUUUUAUGGCAAUUUUUUGAAAAUAUUCGCGGUAACAACUAACAACCAAUAUAGAUAGAAAAAAAAUUGUGGCUCUUUUGAUGGUCUACAGCACAGCAUAACAACCAAUCACACUUCAUGUAAGUGUAUUUUACUUGGUGAAUUAAUCACACUAUUAUCCACAAUAAAGAGUUAUUUUUCUUACCUUGUUUUUUACAAAGCUUUCUCAAAAUGCUUUUAAUACAACGAGAAGAAACGCAAAACCCCAAAUGACAUUUAACAGAUGUCAAGAUCAGGCCUUAUCUAAGGGAAUUUAAGGGCUUGAAAACGAUUCUGGAGUUGCUUCUUUUGAUCUGAUUCUCACAAACUCUGUUUUGUUGUCAAAGAGCCGUUGCAGUUUUGGUCGGACGCAAACUGGGCCUUUCAUCACCUUGGUCCAUCUUGGUUUUGCCUUUCUAACUUGCUAGAAUACGAUUGGGCUUGACUUCUUGUUGGCCCAUCAUUGGUUUUUGGCACUAUUUUUUCACAGAGGCUAAAUUGAUUGUUCUACUAAAAAAAAGUUCUCUAAAGAAGAAAAAAAAGAAAAAAAAAACGAUUGCGGCAACCUACUCAGAUCUUAUCGGGGCUGGUGCUCAGUGGUCCUCCGUGAACCGUCGCCGGCCCCUCCUCCUUUUAUUUCCUUGUCUACGUGAUUUCUCUGUGCUCAGUUAUAUAUGUUGCUUCUUCUAUGUGAAGAGCCUCUUAGAGGAGAGGAGAUCCCGUCGAAGAGGAGAUCGCGUGUGCAGCUCUGUUCUUUCGGUGGUCUCUCUGAAAUAUCCAAUUCGAAGCUCCUGUACUGUUCAACAGUUCUCGGUGAGCUUCUUUUGUCGGGUGAAUUCAUGUCUUUAGCUUUCCGGAUCGGAUCUGAGCUGGUUCAGAGGCUUGCCGGAAGCGUCGACCGGCUAAGGCUCAGGGUGAUGUUUACGGUUUAGUAUUGAGCUCCGGUAACCCGGUUCCUGGGUGGUGACAUGCCGGCGCUUCCUAGGGUCUUCUCAAAGCUUUCUAACUAUACCACAAUCAACCGGUCCAGUAUGGUUAUUGUAAUUUCUAUCCGAAAUCAAUCCACAAUUGUGGUUCAGUACAAGAACCGGUUUAAACCGGAUAAAUUCUGUUAGAUCCAAAUAAAAGCUUCAAGGCGCGGAGCGAAGUCUUCAAACCCAAGAAAGUUCUCGGAGAGAACAAGUGAAGAGAACAAGUGAAGCAAGAAGGGGCGCCAUUGGAGAAAUUUCUCCGAGAGAAGAAGUUGAAAUUCUCCGGUGAUCAUGAGUGAUGCUCGAGAAGAAACGGACGCGGAUAUGGCAGGCGAAGAAGUAUCUCCACAUCUCGAUGGAUACCUUAUGCUGGGAAAGAUAGGCGAAGGAACUUUCAGGUAAACUCUUCUUCUCACUUUCUUCGAAGUUUUCAUUCUUCUUCCUCGUUCUUUAUAAGCGAAUUUUUGUUGUACUCACUAGUUUCAUUCUUCUUCCUCGCUUCUUGAUCAAUUUUGUUUACUUCUUUAUCUCUUGCUAAUUUAGUAAUUUGUGAUUCUUAGUUUCUUAAGAGAUCGGAACCUAUUAGGGUUUAUGCUAGAUAAGUACAUCUUUCAAUUGCAUUUGGGUGCCUAAAGAAAUUGAAACUAGUGAAUCGUGGCUUGUGGUUAUUCAUUUCACGCAUCUGCUGUUUAAGAGAUCGGAACCUGUAUGAUUAGGGUUUAUGCUAGAUAAGUACAUCUUUCCAUUGCAUUUGGGUGCCUUGUGAUUUUGAUUUUGUUUCUGAACCGAAACUAAUAUUGAUCUGGCUGUGUUUGCAUUGUUGCUAUCUGUUUCCCUUUUCUUCUUCGAAUGGACUCUUAAUAUAAUGCAGUCAAGGCUAAAUUUAUCAAAACCGGUGAAGUUUUAUGCUUACUGUUUAUGUUUGUUUUUGGUCUUUUGCAGUAAGGUUUAUAGAGCUACAGACUCCUUAACCAGUACAAUGGUGGCGGUAAAAGAAUUAAAGCUUGAGAUGUAUGGUGGCAUAUCACAAUUAGGGUCUGAAGAAUUGCCUUUUUAUGCAAGCCGUGAGAUACGCAUCCUACAAAAGCUUACUCAUCCUAAUGUGAUCAGUUUGAAAGAAGUACUGACUCCUUCAAGUAAUAAAAUCUGACACUUUCCUUUGAAGAUAGGUGAAGUAAAGCUUGAGUAUUUUGCCUAAUUCUUGUGCCUUUGCUUCCAUUUUGAUUAGAUAAGAACAUAGGAGGAAUCUACAUGGUUUUCGAGUACAUGGAUUCUGACUUGUCUAAACUUGCCAAAGAAGAGAUUACGGCUCCUGACAUUAAGGUAAUUCCAUCUCGUAUAGACACACUUCAUUGUCAUAGUCUGCAGUAAACCGAAAUUCUUCUUCUCUCACUUUUAAACCUCUUUUUCACAGAAUUACAUGAAGCAGUUGCUCGCUGGACUUGAGUACUGUCAUGAGAAUCAAGUUCUUCACCGUGAUAUUAAAGGUGAACAGUCACUAAUCUUAUCUUCUUGCUUACUUGCCAGUUGGUUCUUCUUACGUACUUGCUACAUAAUACAUUUAAAAAACAUUUCAGGUGCAAAUAUACUGGUUUGCGAGAAUGGAAAUUUAAAACUUGCGGAUUUUGGGCUUGCAUGUUGUUUAAAGGAGGAUGAUGUAGAUCUUAAGGAUGUAUUUCCUGCCGUAUCAGACUCAACAUUUCCUGGUGAUCGUAAAUUGCAAGACAUGAUGAAUGAGCUUACAAGCGAAGUCAUUAGCUUUCUCUAUAAGCCACCUGAAAUCUUAACUGGGUCACGUCAAUACGGUCCAGAAGUGGACGUGUGGUCAGUAGGGAUAGUAUUUGCGCAGCUGUUGAAUAAGGGAGUCCACAUCUUGUGUGGUGUUGAUAGAGAUGAUCAGUUAAAGAAGAUUUAUGAGCUUUGCGGACCACCAUCUAAUGAAGAAAACUUGCCCGGGUUUUCUGAAAAGGUGCCUUCUCAGCCUAUGAAGACAUGUCUGAGAGACAAAUAUCCAAAGUAACUUAUUUAUCUCACUUGCUUUGCUCUAUUCUCUUUUCUGAGGCUUCUUUAUUCUGACUCUUUUUUCUGGAUUUCUUCCACAGCUUUGAUCGCAAAGCUCUUGAUCUUUUGGCCAGAAUGUUGGUGAUUGAUCCGUCCGAGGUAAUGUGAUUGAAAGAGUUAGCAAAAUGAUUAAGAUAUCAAAAAGGUUCUUUCCAUUGAAGUCUUUGUUUUUUCUUGUGUGUAGAGAAUCACAGCCACUGCUGCUCUUGCUCAUCCUUAUUUUCUGGACUGAUCGACUCCAUAUGACUUGAAAGAUGCAAUACAACAAUGCUUGAAGAAGAAGCAGCAGCAAAGAGACAUUAUUCUGACUCCAACAGAGUUUAAAAUGUAUAACUUUUGACAAAAUAGUUAGUGAAUCCAUAUAUUCUCUUGUUAGUAACCGGAUUAAACCAAACAGUGAAAUGGGAAUUUUCUGGUUCGGGUUAAACAUUAAACCGAAUGCCAAAGCUUUAAGGGAACACCGCUUGAAUGAUCUGGUUAGGUACAAUAGCCGGUUUAAUCCGGAGAAAAUUACACGCCGUAAAUACCAGUCUCCCUCGAAUCAUCUCCCACUCGCUGUCUCUCCCUUGCAUCAGCGAGUGGCAAUGAUGCCAUUCAAAAUAUGCAUUGGAUGGAUGCCCGGACAUUGAGAAGGAAGGACACUUUCAGAGGCGAAAUUAUAAAGAUAUUUAGAAGUUACCAAUACACUUUUUCAGUUAAUAAAUCUACUACAAAAAUAAUUUCCUUUUUCUUUUUUUAAAAAAAUAUGGAUUAUAAGGCAAAUUAGGCAAUUUUACAUUUAACUACUAUGAUGAUACCAUAAUUGAGGAGAAAAGUAUUAAAUUAUUUAUCGAAUUUACAAAUUUGAUAGGAGCAUGGCUUAUUUUUACGAGAAUUUAAAAAUAAUAAUUUUUAGAGCUUCAUUAAUGCAAUCCUCACCAUAUCAAGAAAAAAGCUCUUGUUCUUGGGCACAUUCAUUUUUUAACAAAUGCAGAUUCAGCCAAGUCAAUUGCUCGAGCAAGACCAGCUGCUUUGUUCUGGCACUCACAGUGUUCGUCUUGCGGGUCACUAUCAGCUACUACACCGGCUCCAGCCUGAAGAUAUGCCAUGCGGGAAAACAUGCUGGUUAUGAUUUUAUUGAAUUUGGGACAAAGGAAGAACAUGCUGUCGGGAAAACGAUUGUCCUAAGGGACAAAGCAAUGUCCAUGUCACCAGUGAAGGAGACUCCACCAAAACCACCACUGUAUGGUCCACGCCUUGUUGGCUCUAGCUCAUCGAUCAGUUCCAUGGCUUUGACCUUUGGUGCACC